UACGUAGGCAGCAAGCGUUGUUCGGAGUUACUGGGCGUAAAGGGUGCGUAGGCGGCUUUUUAAGUUUGGUGUGAAAUCUCCCGGCUCAACUGGGAGGGUGCGCCGAAUACUGAGAGGCUAGAGUGUGGGAGAGGAAAGUGGAAUUCCUGGUGUAGCGGUGAAAUGCGUAGAGAUCAGCAGGAACACCCGUGGCGAAGGCGGCCACCUGGGCCUAACCUGACGCUGAGGCGCGAAGGCUAGGGGAGCGAACGGG
rnacentral:rRNA from 1 species